GAUGAAGAACGCAGCGAAAUGCGAUACGUAAUGUGAAUUGCAGAAUUCAGUGAAUCAUCGAAUCUUUGAACGCAUAUUGCGCUCUCUGGUAUUCCGGAGAGCAUGCUUGUUUGAGUAUCAGUAAACACCUCAACUUCCAUAUCUUCUUUGAAAUGGGAGUUGGACUUGAGUGAUCCCAACGCUUUUCCUCACCGAAAAGUGGCGGGUUACUUGAAAUGCAGGUGCAGCUGGACUUUUCUCUGAGCUAUAAGCAUAUCUAUUUAGUCUGCCUAAAAAACAGAUUAUUACCUUUGCUGCAGCUAACAUAAAGGAGAUUAGUUCUUGUGCUGACUGAUGCAGGAUUCACAAAGACAGGCUUCGGCCGACUUUGUAAACUCGAUCUCAAAUCAAGUAAGACUACCCGCUGAACUUAAGCAUAUCAAUAAGCGGAGGA
rnacentral:misc_RNA from 1 species